CGAGACGGGGCGGGAGGGGCCAGACUGUCUCGGCUGUCACACCUGUCCUGAGGAAAGCCCUGUGGAAGGAGCUCAGUGCUGGGAUUCAGGACCCUGAGGCCACUGUGAAACUGCAAAUUCUUUCCAAGCUGUUGCCACCUCCGGGAAGCAAAGGGCUGCACAACCUGAUGGACUGCCUUCCUGCUGCUCCGGAGAGAGCAGGCAAUGAAGAGAGUGUGUGGUUGAAGAAGUGGACCCAGAUGACUGGUGUGACCUUGUGAAGACAGGGCUCAAGUACCGUUACAGAGAUGAAACAUUUCUGAAGGUCCUGAACGUUGCCAUCCAGUUACUAUACAUGAAAGAAUCCUCACUUAGAGCGUAGUCAAGCUCUCCAAACUACACAUGGGGGUCACACAGCACUCUCUAUUUUUGGCAGCCAUCCUGAGGUCAAGAGAAGAAGAUGGCAUGAGCGUCCAGACAAGAGGAUGGCUCUCUGUGGUCUCAGACAGUGUUCCCUGGGAGGAAGGGCAGCCUUUGCCUCGCCUGCACAGCUCAGGUGGAUGUGACAGAACUGGUGUGGCCUGACAAGGCAUGAGCAGCUGUCUGUGCACUGGAGUGCCUUGAAACCUUUCUCUGUGAGGUUUUGGACACGUUUCUCUUUGGGAUUUCUUGUGACACAGCACCAGUCAUUGAGCUCCUCCCAUCUUUGCCAGAAGCUUCGGUGUUUAAGCAGCCAGAGCCAAGAGGCUUCAGCACCAGGGGUGUGCGCUGGAGGGCUCCUGGUCCUGCCCACGCUGUGGGGGAGCCAGGGCUGGCACAAGGACUCAUGAAGGUGCUGCUCUGGCACUGGAGCUGUUGCCCUGUGGAGCCAUUUUAAAGGUCUGAUAAUGGAACAUUUUGGAGGCCGUUUCUGGAAUUCCAUUUGUAGCUGGAUCUCGCUCCAAGUGCAGCAGUCCAGGUGAGGGUUCUGACCUCUCCAGACUUGUGCUCACCUUGGUACAGCCUGGGGCUGGAGCAGUUUUCCAGGGAAGUGGAGAUGGCUGAGGAUGGGUGCUCUGGAAAGCAGGGACCUGCUGGGAUUUGCAUUUGCAAAGCUGCCGUGAAGUUUGUAAAACCAGCAGGAAAUUCUAAUUCCUGUGGUUUUUGGGGAGGAGGUGCAGGUCACCCUGAGAGCUAGAUCAGAACUGGUUUGUGGUAAGGAGUCUGAGGUGUGUAAGUGCCACAGCUGGUAUGAGCUGUGUGCUAAAUGCAGUCCCAGCCCCAGAGGGAGGCUGAUGGGCUCUGCUCAUUGCUGUCCCCAGCUGUCCCCAGCCCGCUGCUCCCCCGUGGAUCUGCUCUGGAUUCGGGCUGUCGGUGCUGGAGCGCCCUGCUCCCUGCAGGGCCCUGCCCCUAACCCACGCAGAGAGAGCCCUGCUGGCCAGAGUGAUCUUUUUUAUUCCUUUAUCCCUGUGCUGUUAGCAAGGAAGGGAUGGGACUGCUCUUGGCCGGGAGCACUCAGUGCUCAGGUAAACACCCGCCUCGGAGCGUGAGGGUUUGCAGAGCGAGCAGCUGCUGCGGCUCAGGAGCAGCCACAAGUUCUUUGUUCCAAGGCAGGCCAGAACUUUCUAACCCCGGGGUUUAUUUGGCUUUUCGAACCCAGCACCUCUGCUCAGUUCUGCCGCACUGAGGGUACUUUUGUUCAAUGCCUUCUGUUGGAACUUGUCAGCUCUCAGUGUAGCGCACACAGCCCCAGCCCUGCCCUGCAAACCCUUCCCCAUCGUGCCCACACAGUUUCUCUCUCACUCACUCGGGGCAGGCUCUUACUGACAGCCACAGAAACAGAAGUUAUUUUAUUUUAUUUUAUUCUUUUCCUGCGUAAUGCCCGUGUCUUGUAUUGGUACAUCAAUCCCAGCUUCUCCCGAGGCUGCAGAUCAAAUCUUUCAGUGUCUGUGGGAGUUUCUGGUUUUCCCAUUCCCAUGUCUUCCCCCUCUCUCUGUAUGAAAAAAAAAAUUAUUAGUGGAUUUGUUAAGCAUUUGUUGCAUAUAUUAACAUAAAUAAGGUGUUAUCAUUAGUAUUAUUAUUGUAAUAAUAUAAUUAAAAUGUAUACUUUUGUUACAAGAUUUUUUAAUUAUGGUGUUAAAUUUUAUUUAUUGUUAUGUUUUAUUAGUUAUUCUUAUUUUUGAUAUUUCUUAAAGUUGUACACUUUAAUAAGUAGAUUUGGUGUUUUAGAUAAAUGUAUACAUUUUAUUAAAUUUUUAUAUUUAUAUUUGUAUGUUAAUAAAAUAAAUUUUUUUGUUGGUUUUUUGUAAAACUGCGUAUUUAAUAGUUUUAUAUUUGUUUAAAAAGUUAUUUAGGGUAAGGGAUGUCGAAUUAGAUUGUUUAUUUAGAAAAUAUUUUAAUUGAUUUAAUUGUUUUAGUGUUGUUGAAGUAAUAGGUGGUAUAAAAACUGAUGCUACCAUUUUGAUUUUAAGUUUCAAGGCUUAAAAUUACUUUUAUAUUUUGAUUACUAUUGAUGGAUAAAUGACUUUUUUGUUUUAAAUUGGUAGCUAUUUUAAUAUUAAGAGUUAAUAAUGUAAGGGCUUUUUAAUUAUAUGGACUAUUUGUAAUGGUUUUUAUUGGUAUCUUAAGUAAGUAAGUAAAGAAUGGAUUUUUUUGAGUAGUGCUAGAUAAAUACAAAGUAUUUAAACUUGAAACUUUAGUUAAAGUUACUUAAAUGUUUGUUUUAGGUUGGUUAAUUGGUAAAGUGACAUAAUUAAAAGUAAAUAAAGUAAAUAGAGUAGAAGUAAAAUAUUUGAUAGAAUUUCAUAAUUUGUAAGUUACUAAAUAAGAUUUUUAUAACAUUGAUUUUUAUAUUUAUAAAGAAACUUCAAGUUUCUAUAUUUUGGUGGGUGUAGUACAAGAUGUUAGGUGUAAGUUGCAAUUCUUGUGUAAUCUGCGUUUGUAUUUCCAUAGUGUAAUUUGUCUUUGUAUUUACAUUGGUGUUUUAUUUGUGGAGUGGUGAGUGUGUUUUUUGUGUGAUCUGAUUUUAUGUUUCUCAUUGAAAUUUACUUGGGGUUAUGUACUUGUUGAGAUAUAAGUAAACUUUAUGUUUUGAUAUGAGAAAUAAUAAGUUGUUAUAAUUUUUCAGUUAUAAGUAUGAAGAAAUGCAAGAGUAAAAUAAUGUAUGUAGUAAAGAAGAAAUUGAUAAUAAUUAGGAAUUACUUAGAUAAUAUCUAUAAUUAGUAACAUAGGUGAAAUUAUAUAAUUAGUAAGUAUUAAAAGAUUGUACAUACUUUUAGCAUUUAUAACAGUUGAUAAAUGUUAAAUUAGUGGUAAGUUAAAUCAUUAUGUGUGGAUAAUGAUUUUUUAAGUUUAUUUUAAAAAUAAGUUUAUUUGUUAUAUUGUUAAAUUGUUAAGUUAAAAUUAUUUGAAUUUAUUUUUGAUGUAGAAAAUAUUUGGGUUUGUUGUUAAUUAUUUUAUUUAGGUAGAGUUAGGGUUAGGUUAUAGUUUAAAUUUUAAUUGGUGAAUGUUAUUUAAUAUAUUUUUAUAUAAUGUUUUUAAAAAUAGUAGUUAAGAGUAAAAAUGUUAGGAUUAAAGAUUAAUUACAUUAUUUAAUAAUUGGAUUUUUUUAGAAGUUUUUUAGAAUAGAGAUGCUUUGAAUAUAGUAAACUUCUUUUUAAAGAUUUGAAAGUGGUUAUGGACAGGAUUGUGAGUUUGGAUUUGGAUAUUGAGAGUGUGAAGGUGGAGGAAAUGUAUGAGAGAGUGAUUACUUAGUGUGAAACUUAGAAAAAGAAAUUAAUGUUGUAGUUGGAUUUUGUAUUCAAGUGAUUUUGUAAUAAUAACUGAGGAAAGUGAUAAGAUUAACAGUUUGGAGGAGGUUUUUAAUGAAAUACCUUUUUAAUCUUGAAAAAUAUUAAAAAUUAUGAGAUAACAUUAAGUUAAAUUAUAGAGUUAGUGUAGAGAUUAGUUAGAGAAUUAACUUGGUUUAAGCGCUGUAUAAGUUGAGAAUAAAAAAGUAGAGAUUAGAAAUUUUAUGUGGUUUUUAGAUCAUUAUAUAAAGAGAUAAUAAAGUAUAUGAAAGUUGGUUGUAAAUAUUAUAACAAUAUUUAAUAAAUAUUUAUUAUUAUAAAAAUUAAUAUAUUGAUAUAAUAUAAUUAGUAUAUUAGUGGUAAGUGUUUGAAGAAGUUAGGAUAACUUUUAAAAAAUAUUUAUAUAUUAAGGAAAUAGAGUAAAAUUUUUAAACAGCAUGAUAUGAAUAGUAAUUGCUAUUUUUUGGUGUUACUUAUAAAAGAUAAGAGUAGAAAUUGUAAUGAAGUACAGAAUUUUUGAUGAAAUUGAUGAUAUAAUACACUGUACUUUUUUUUACUUCUGAAUAGGUGUUUGUCAGUGUUUUCUUUUAGUUGUUUUAAUUGGAGGUGUUUUAUUUUUUAAGAAAAUUAACCAUAUACUGUAUAGUUUAGAGAAAUGAUUUUUUUAAUAAAAUUUAGCAUAAGUUAUAUUAAAUAACAUUUAAAUUUAGACUGAAUGAAUUUUGAUAGUAAGGAAUAAUAAACUAAAUUUUAAUUGAUAAAAAGAAAAUGUAUUUGUUUAAAUGUAUUGACACUUAAUUUUGUUUGAUUUUAUUAAUACUUAACAUAUU
rnacentral:lncRNA from 1 species